AGCGGCGUGCCUAAUACAUGCAAGUCGAGCGAACAGAGAAGGAGCUUGCUCCUUUGACGUUAGCGGCGGACGGGUGAGUAACACGUGGGCAACCUACCUUAUAGUUUGGGAUAACUCCGGGAAACCGGGGCUAAUACCGAAUAAUCUAUUUUACUUCAUGGUGAAAUACUGAAAGACGGUUUCGGCUGUCGCUAUAAGAUGGGCCCGCGGCGCAUUAGCUAGUUGGUGAGGUAACGGCUCACCAAGGCGACGAUGCGUAGCCGACCUGAGAGGGUGAUCGGCCACACUGGGACUGAGACACGGCCCAGACUCCUACGGGAGGCAGCAGUAGGGAAUCUUCCACAAUGGGCGAAAGCCUGAUGGAGCAACGCCGCGUGAGUGAAGAAGGUUUUCGGAUCGUAAAACUCUGUUGUAAGGGAAGAACAAGUACAGUAGUAACUGGCUGUACCUUGACGGUACCUUAUUAGAAAGCCACGGCUAACUACGUGCCACAGCCGCGGUAUACGUAGGUGGGCCAGCGUUGUCCGGGAAUUCUUG
rnacentral:rRNA from 1 species